CAAAGCUGUAGCCAUUUUAUAUUUUCCGUGUUUACUCUUUCUACUGUACAGAAAACAUGUUCGGCUAUAAGUGCAGGAGGUCACCUAACCAGCAUCACCAGUGCAGAACAGAAUGAAUUCCUUCGUAAGCUUUCUCAGGGACAACAGAAUACCCAGUUCUGGACGGGGGGAACUUACCAAAAGGGUUCAUUGUUGAGAUGGAGUGAUGGAUCUCUGAUAACCUUUAUCCAGAGGCCUCUGUCAUCCAUUUUCUAUGCUGUUGGAGGACUGAUUAACAACCUGUUUAACAUAAAGCUUUGCCUGAUGGUCAAUAUUGGAGGAGGGGCUCAAUGGGACAGCUCCCCCUGCAGCCAGAGGCUACCAUUCAUCUGCACUUACAGACCAAGCCUGGUUCACCCUUAACCUAUCACUGAACCACUGAUGAAACCUGACUGGCUGCAACGGCACUUGGAAUUGAAUUCACCUGAAAUACAUUAGUGCAGAAAAAUCUUUUGCAUGGAAAAAUCAAGGUCUUAUACUAAAAAAGAAGAGGUGUCAAAGCGAGUGACAUUUCUGUUCUGUUUGCAUUAUUGUGGUGAUGUUCCUGCAGACUAUCUUUAUAAUGAUCUUAUAAAAAUAAAUUCUGAUUUUAUUUGAAUGCUUGAUGAAAUCAGAGGACCGUUUAGCUUUUCCACAGGGCGUUCAAGAAUAUUCAUAAGAGCUCUUUAAUUAUUAAAUAAUUACCAAUCAU
rnacentral:lncRNA from 1 species